UACGGAGGGUGCAAGCGUUAUCCGGAUUUACUGGGUUUAAAGGGUGCGUAGGCGGGCCUUUAAGUCAGUGGUGAAAGCUCCGAGCUUAACUCGGAAACUGCCAUUGAUACUUAUUGGUCUUGUAAUUCGGAUUCGGAGGUUGGGUCGGGAAGUAUGUCGGUGUAGCGGUGAAAAUGCUUAGAUAUGACACAGAACACCGAUUGUGAAGGCAGCUAGCUAGACCGACAUUGACGCUGAGGCACGAAAAGCGUGGGGAUCAAACAGG
rnacentral:rRNA from 1 species